UACGGAGGGAGCUAGCGUUAUUCGGAAUUACUGGGCGUAAAGCGCACGUAGGCGGCUUUGUAAGUAAGAGGUGAAAGCCCAGAGCUCAACUCUGGAAUUGCCUUUUAGACUGCAUCGCUUGAAUCAUGGAGAGGUCAGUGGAAUUCCGAGUGUAGAGGUGAAAUUCGUAGAUAUUCGGAAGAACACCAGUGGCGAAGGCGGCUGACUGGACAUGUAUUGACGCUGAGGAGCGAAAGCGUGGGGAGCAAACAGG
rnacentral:rRNA from 1 species